UACAGAGGGUGCAAACGUUGUUCGGAAUUACUGGGCGUAAAGCGCGUGUAGGCGGCAGCGCAAGUCGGAUGUGAAAUCCCACGGCUCAACCAUGGAAGUGCACCCGAAACUGCGUCGCUAGAGUCCUGGAGAGGAAGGUGGAAUGCUUGGUGUAGAGGUGAAAUUCGUAGAUAUCAAGCGGAACACCGGUGGCGAAGGCGGCCUUCUGGACAGUGACUGACGCUGAGACGCGAAAGCGUGGGGAGCAAACAGG
rnacentral:rRNA from 1 species